rnacentral:rRNA from 1 species
GACAGAGGAUGGCAAGCGUUAUCCAGAAUGAUUGGGCGUAAAGCGUCUGUAGGUGGCUUUUCAAGUCCGCCGUCAAAUCCCAGGGCUCAACCCGUGGACAGGCGGUGGAAACUACCAAGCUGGAGUACGGUAGGGGCAGAGGGAAUUUCCGGUGGAGCGGUGAAAUGCAUUGAGAUCGGAAGAACACCAACGGCGAAAGCACUCUGCGGGCCGACA